GACGUAGGGCGCGAGCGUUGUCCGGAUUUAUUGGGCGUAAAGAGCUCGUAGGCGGCUUGUCGCGUCGUCCGUGAAAACCUGCAGCUCAACUGCAGGCUUGCGGUCGAUACGGGCAGGCUGGAGUUCGGUAGGGGCAGAGGGAAUUUCCGGUGGAGCGGUAAAAUGCGUAGAGAUCGGAAAGAACACCAACGGCGAAAGCACUCUGCUGGGCCGACACUGACACUGAGAGACGAAAGCUAGGGGAGCGAAUGGG
rnacentral:rRNA from 1 species